UACGUAGGGGGCAAGCGUUUUCCGGAUUUACUGGGCGUAAAGCGCGUGUAGGCGGCCACGCAGGUCCGUUGUGAAAACUGGAGGCUUAACCUCCAGACGUCGACGGAAACCGUGUGGCUAGAGUCCGGAAGGGGAGAGUGGAAUUCCUGGUGUAGCGGUGAAAUGCGCAGAUAUCAGGAAGAACACCAAUGGCGAAGGCAGCUCUCUGGGACGGUACUGACGCUGAGACGCGAAAGCGUGGGGAGCGAACAGG
rnacentral:rRNA from 1 species